AGCACAAUUGUUGGAUUGUAUGGUAAGGGUAUAAUUCAUUUUGUAAGAAUCUGUCAAAAUGUUUUCUAAAGUGACUAUACAAUUUUUCUUUGCACCUACGGU
rnacentral:pre_miRNA from 1 species